ACAUAUUAGUGUUUUAUUUUUCAUGAUUUUGUUUUACUAAUGCUUGAAUUCUUCUUCCACUUCAAAUAUUUUGUGAUGAUCUAAAUCCAUUUGAAUCCCACUUUGUAACACAACAUAAAGUGGAAAAAGUCCAGGGGUGUGGAAACUUUCUGAAGGCACUGUAUGAAGGGGGAAAAGCUAGAUCUAAUGAAGCUAGCCAUUCCAACUUAGGCUUCAUCAGUACUAUGACGUUGGAAUGGCCGUAACUAUAUAUACAGAAUAUAGUACACAAUCAAAUAAAUUACCGGUCAACAUCUAAAUAUUGCUCCCAGCGUUGAUCAAAGCUCAGAAAACGUAUAUUCUUGACCUUGUAAUCGCGCUUGCCUCUUUGUGAAGGAGUGGAAUCAUGAACAGUGGUUUGAUCGUUAUAUUUGACUGCGUGGGCUACUGAGUUCUCAUAAUAACUAUGCUUUACAGAGAGAAGGCUACUGAGACAGACAGUGUUGAGGCUGAGGCAGGCUACAAUGCAUGCAGGAGGAAGCAGAGGAGAAAGAGAGAGGAAGCAAGCAGAGAGAAGUUAUGACAACCCCAAACUUGGGGUCAGGCCCCAUGUGGGGUCUCCUGAGAAAAUCUGUACUAAUCUUAUCAAACAAGUGAGAAAUAAAUGUAACAAAAGAAACAACAACAUACAGUACCAGUCAAAAGUUUGAACACACCUACUCAUUCAAAGGUUCUUCUUUCAUUUUUAAAACUAUUUUCUACAUUGUAAAAUAAUAGUGAAGACAUCAAAACUAUGAAAUAACACAUAUGGAAUCAUGGAGUAACCAAAAAAGUGUUAAACAUAUAAAAAUACAUUUUAUAUUUGAGAUUAUUCAAAUUAACCACCCUUUUCCUUGAUGGCAGCUUUGCAAUUCUCUAAACCAACUUCACCUGAAAUGUUUUUCCAACAGUCUUGAAGGAGUUCCCACAUAUGCUGAGCACUUGUUGGCAGCUUUUCCUUCACUCUGUGGUCCAACACAUUGUUGGGAAUGUUAUGAAUAAUGACUAAACAAUAACUACAUUUUAAAUAGAACUAUACCUAAUUAAACUCUACUCUGUUUUAUUAUAUCUGAUUA
ensembl:lncRNA